AUUGAACGCUGGCGGCAGGCCUAACACAUGCAAGUCGAGCGGAGCGGCGGACGGGUGAGUAAUGCCUAGGAAUCUGCCUGGUAGUGGGGGAUAGCGUCCGGAAACGGGCGCUAAUACCGCAUACUAUCAGAUGAGCCUAGGUCGGAUUAGCUAGUUGGUGGGGUAAAGGCAUACCAAGGCGACGAUCCGUAACUGGUCUGAGAGGAUGAUCAGUCACACGUGAACUGAGACACGGUCCAGACUCCUACGGGAGGCAGCAGUGGGGAAUAUUGGACAAUGGGCGAAAGCCUGAUCCAGCCAUGCCGCGUGUGUGAAGAAGGGCUUCGGAUUGUAAAGUACUUUAAGUUGGGAGGCGUUACCCGCAGAAGAAGCACCGGCUAACUCCGUGCCAGCAGCCGCGGUAAUUC
rnacentral:rRNA from 1 species